rnacentral:rRNA from 1 species
AUUGACCGCUGGCGGCAGGCUUAACACAUGCAAGUCGAGCGAGUGGCGGACGGGUGAGGAAUGUCUGGGAAACUGCCCGAUGGAGGGGGAUCACUACUGGAAAAGGUAGCUAAUACCGCAUACCAUCGGAUGUGCCCAGAGGGGAUUAGCUAGUAGGUGGGGGAAAGGCCAACCUAGGCGACGAUCCCUAGCUGGUCUGAGAGGAUGACCAGCCACACUGGAACUGAGACACGGUCCAGACUCCUACGGGAGGCAGCAGUGGGGAAUAUUGCACAAUGGGCGCAAGCCUGAUGCAGCCAUGCCGCGUGUAUGAAGAAGGCCGUCGGGUUGUAAAGUACUUUCAGCGGGGAGGCGUUACCCGCAGAAGAAGCACCGGCUAACUCCGUGCCAGCAGCCGCGGUAAUAC